CGUAGGUGGUUAAAAAAGUUGGUGGUGAAAUCCCAGAGCUUAACUCUGGAACUGCCAUCAAAACUUUUUAGCUAGAGUAUGAUAGAGGAAAGCAGAAUUUCUAGUGUAGAGGUGAAAUUCGUAGAUAUUAGAAAGAAUACCAAUUGCGAAGGCAGCUUUCUGGAUCAUUACUGACACUGAGGAACGAAAGCAUGGGUAGCGAAGAGGAUUAGAUACCCUCGUAGUCCAUGCCGUAAACGAUGUGUGUUAGACGUUGGAAAUUUAUUUUCAGUGUCGCAGCGAAAGCAAUAAACACACCGCCUGGGGAGUACGACCGCAAGGUUAAAACUCAAAUGAAUUGACGGGGACCCGCACAAGUAGUGGAGCAUGUGGUUUAAUUCGAAGAUACGCGCAGAACCUUACCAACACUUGACAUGUUCGUCGCGACUCUAAGAGAUUAGAGUUUUCGGUUCGGCCGGACGAAACACAGGUGCUGCAUGGCUGUCGUCAGCUCGUGUCGUGAGAUGUUGGGUUAAGUCCCGCAACGAGCGCAACCCUUACUUUUAGUUGCCAUCAUUUAGUUGGGCACUCUGAAAGAACUGCCAGUGAUAAGCUGGAGGAAGGUGGGGAUGACGUCAAGUCCUCAUGGCCCUUACGUGUUGGGCUACACACGUGCUACAAUGGCAUUUACAAUAGGAAGCAAGAUGGCGACAUCAAGCAAAUCCUAAAAAAAUGCCUCAGUUCGGAUUGUACUCUGCAACUCGAGUACAUGAAGCUGGAAUUACUAGUAAUCGCGGAUCAGCGCGCCGCGGUGAAUACGUUCCCGGGUCUUGUACACAC
rnacentral:rRNA from 1 species